rnacentral:rRNA from 1 species
AGCGAACGCUGGCGGCAGGCCUAACACAUGCAAGUCGAACGAACUCUUCGGAGUUAGUGGCGGACGGGUGAGUAACACGUGGGAACGUGCCUUUAGGUUCGGAAUAACUCAGGGAAACUUGUGCUAAUACCGAAUGUGCCCUUCGGGGGAAAGAUUUAUCGCCUUUAGAGCGGCCCGCGUCUGAUUAGCUAGUUGGUGAGGUAAAGGCUAACCAAGGCGACGAUCAGUAGCUGGUCUGAGAGGAUGAUCAGCCACGUUGGGACUGAGACACGGCCCAAACUCCUACGGGAGGCAGCAGUGGGGAAUCUUGCGCAAUGGGCGAAAGCCUGACGCAGCCAUGCCGCGUGAAUGAUGAAGGUCUUAGGAUUGUAAAAUUCUUUCACCGGGGACGAUAAUGACGGUACCUGGAGAAGAAGCCCCGGCUAACUUCGUGCCAGCCGCCGCAGUAA